UACGUAGGGUGCUAGCGUUGUUCGGAAUUACUGGGCGUAAAGGGCGCGUAGGCGGCCGUUUGCGUCGGAUGUGAAAGCCCGGGGCUCAACCUCGGAACGGCAUUCGAUACGGGACGGCUGGAGACCGGGAGAGGAGAGUGGAAUAGCCAGUGUAGAGGUGAAAUUCGUAGAUAUUGGCUGGAACACCGGUGGCGAAAGCGGCUCUCUGGCCCGGUUCUGACGCUGAGGCGCGAAAGCGUGGGGAGCAAACAGG
rnacentral:rRNA from 1 species